ACUGACUUGUUCUUGAGCAUGAAUAGUCAAUGGUCUUCUAAUGGGAGACCCUCUAACAUGAAAGUGAGACAUUAAAGUGAAUAAACACAAAAUAUGGUCCUGGAGGAAACAGACAUCAUGCAAAGAACAGGAGGGAACUGAAACUCUAGUUCACGUGUUUGAGAGAUGUGAGAAAAUGUUGCAACAGGAAACAAGAGGACAGCAUGAAAAUGGAAUGAACGUCUACCAAGAAGUGCCUCCUAGAUAGUAAAGAUCUGUUUGUCAGAAUAGAAAAUAAUUCCAUAGAAAAGUUGGAAAAUCAGAUCGGGGGAGCCUCUGAGAAGAACAGGAAAACAAAGAGGUAGAAAAUAUGAGAAAAGAAAGGCAGAGGGUCAAUGCAGGAGCAUUCAACAUCUGACCAAAAGACAAAUGACAGGGGUGAUCCACAUGUGCGUGAAGUCUGGAAGGCACUGACUCUGUCCUUUCUCUAGCACCACAAACAGUCAUCCCUUACUGCACGACCUUCUCCUCAGGGAGUCAGGCAUGCAUCCAAGGGCCCGUGCUGGACUGCAAAUCUCACAUGCCGUGCUGGAAAGACCUUUAUCUACCUUGCCUACUUCACCCCAAAG